CUUCCUCUUCUUGUUCUCUUCCCUCUCACGUUUUUUCAAUUUCUCCAUGGAAGCUUGAUGUGAAGCUUUCAUAACUUUCUCUCUCUAGCUCUAAUUUUCAAACCCUGGUGCCCUUUUAACUAGAACUCUUGUAUUCUUUCACUCUCUCACUUUAAAACCCUUGAAAAUGAUGAAAAUUUUGUUUUCAUAAUCUCUCACUAGUUAGGUGUUUUAAAGAGAGAAAGAGGAAGCUUUAUUAAUAGCUUGAGAGCUUUGGGAAAGAAGUUCAAAGUUACAAAGCUAUCAAGGUGAGUAGUAAACUAGUAUUGGGUUUUAAGUGUUGAGAAUGACUAGAGAUUUUAUUUGUGAAUAUUUUGUAGUUGAGAUUGUUAAUUCACUUUGGAGUGAUAGGAAAGUGAAAAUGGAUGGCCAUUUAAAUGGCAAUUGAAAGCUAGCUAAAAGAUAGCUUUUAGGGUUUAUAGUAUGUAAAUUGACAUUAUGGAAAUGUUAAUUUGAUGGUAGGUGCUAACGAAGCCCCAUCACCCCAAUUGGAUCAUUAGGGGAAUUAAGAGUCGGCUAAAGGCUCAACGAAUACCGGUGAGUGGACUUGCAUUUCAAACUUGUUUUGGGGAAUAUGAAAGAUUCUAUCCAACUUGUCUUAGAAAAUGUACCUUGGGAACAAGCUUUUAGUAAAAUGAUUUUAUAUUGUGAAAAUGUGUUAUACAAUGGUUUAUGUGUUAUCAUAAUAUGAUAAAAUGCAUGAUAUGCAUUGGAUGCUUCUUUGCAUGUUGAUGUGGACCCGGCUAUGUGCGAGUAGGAGUGCACAUAAGCCGUUGCUGACCCGGCUAUGUGCGAGUAUGAGUGCACAUAAGCCAUUGCUGACCCGACUAUGUGUGAGUGGAAGUGCACAUAAGCCGUUGCUAACCCAGCUAUAUGCAAGUAGGAGUACGCAUAAGCCGUUGCAUAUGAGAUGAUGAUGAUGGGAAGGUGUACAUGAUGAUUGAUAUAUAUAUAUAUACAUAUAUGGUAUAUGGUUGUAAAUGCAAAUAUGUGAGCAUUUGAUUUGUUGAAAUUUAGGAGAGUACAUGUGUUACAUGUUGUUAUUGUUAUGUUAGCAAGAUGACUUGUUUUAAAGGAAAAUGAGACUUUUUUCUUGAUGUUCUGACUCUUGCUACAGUGAGAAACUCUCAGGUUUGAGGGCCUUCACCAGACCUAGUUCUCGCUGCAGAGAGAAACUUUUUGUCCAUUUUGGCUAACUUGUGGGUUUUGCUAUAUUUUUCGAUUCUUUGGUACCAUAGUUAAGUAUGGAUCUUUUAAGUGAUUUACUCAUAAGGGGUUUACAUGAGGGGUUCUAUUAAGAACUAGAACAAAUUGCAUUGUUUUAAGAAAAUGAGUGCAUCAUGAUUUCGAUAAACAUUCCUUAUGGUAUGCUUGUUCUCUUCUUGUUCACUCACUGAAUUUAUGCUCACCGCUUUCAACUUCAAGUUUUCAGAUUAAGAGAUAGCCGGUAACUAGGACGAGGUGUCCUCGUGGACUUGUAUCCAUCUUUUGGUUGGUGUCUCGGCAUUUAGUAGCUGUACAU
rnacentral:lncRNA from 1 species